UAAUACAGAGGUCACGAGCGUUGUUCGGAUUCAUUGGGCGUAAAGGGUGCGUAGGCGGUCUUCUAAGUUUGAUGUGAAAUCCCGGGGCUCAACCCUGGAAUUGCAUUGAAUACUGGAGGACUAGAGUACUGGAGAGGAAACUGGAAUUUACGGUGUAGCAGUGAAAUGCGUAGAGAUCGUAAGGAAGACCAGUGGCGAAGGCGGGUCUCUGGACAGUUCCUGACACUGAGGCACGAAGGCCAGGGGAGCAAACGGGA
rnacentral:rRNA from 1 species